GGGGAAAUGAACAUCAUUAGUAAUAGACAUUUAAAAAUGUGCCUGUGAGUGUUCCAUCUUAAGCUGGCUUUUUUUUUCCCCCUGUAUGUUUAAUGACAGGUCUACGGAAAGAUCAGGCUACAGGAUACAAGCAGGAAAAAAAGGUGACAUCCACAUGUCAGUGUUAGUAUACCUCCUGCAUUAAGAAAUUUCAAUUGCACCUGUAAGGUUGUCCUUCUUUAUCCUCCAGUACCUCGCCCCAGGAACUACCCCAUGACUCCUCUGCUUCACAUCAGGAAUAUAUACAAAGGCUACACAGUAAACUAUGAGUAAGAAAUAACCACCAAGGCUCAAAAGAUCUGUCUGCCUUCAUGCACCACCACAUCACAAGUUAAGAGAAAGGAAUGCUAAGAAAACUGGCCUAGAACUCUGGCUCCACCACAUUCUGGAACAAACUGUCCCCAAACCACCUCACCGCAUAAUCUUAAGAAGUCACCUCACUCUCUUGACCACAGGCCUCUCAUUUGUGGAGGUGGAUUUGAAACCAUUUAUCUCAUAAGGUUACCGUGCAGAUUAAAUAAGACAAUGUAGGAAAAACUGUUAGCACAAUAGCAGGUAAAGCUGAAAUAGAUGGUUACUAAGGAGACUAUCAGCUUUAUGACCUGAAGAAAGCAAAAUUUCACCCCUGGAAAAAAGUCUGCUACCUCACAAGCAGACAGCCUUUGAAUGUGAACUGGAACAUCAGCUCUCCUGGGUCUCCAGCCUGUUGGCCCAACCUACAGAUUUCGGACUUGCUAGUCUCUAUAAUCAUGCAAGACCUCCUGCACAGAAGCUGGCAGAAGAGUUGCUUAAACAACAACAGUUCAGUGACUCAUCUGUGUUUUCACAACACGUUUGUACCAGCACCCAUGUCUAUUUGUAGCCUGACAAUAAAGACCCUAUAUGAACCAUC